GCAGAGAGGAGAGGGAGCGGGCGGAGCUGCGGCUAGGAGGAGGGAGGGAGCAAGCGGAGUCGAAGCUCCCCUUGAACUCUGGUUCCAGGCUGUGUGGACCGUGAGGGCUGCCACCUCAGAGCAUCAAAGCACAGGAGGCCCCUGCAGCUUCAGCGGAGCAACGACCACGGAGAGCGGGCAGCUCAGCGAGUAUCCGAGUAUCCGGUGCAGCCCCAGCUGGGGUGCCUAGCGACUGCACCGGUACCUGCCAGGGCCGGCGUGCUCACCUGAGCCAGACACCUGCGAAAACUUGUUCUACACGCUACCUUAUUUAAAUCUCUUCUUCAAGCUGAGGAGGCAGGCACACUCUCGGCACCGCCUUAAGUAACUUAACCCACUGCAGAGCAAGGAUUCGAACCCAGAAGUCUUGAGUCAAAGACAAAGUUCUUGUCCCAUAAGCUUAUGUCCUGCGGGGACCGGCUUCCCACCGAGCGCUCAGUAAAGCCUGCAGGAGCCGUGGUCAGGUAUUUACAGCUUGGGAAUGUUUCAUCUGGAUGGCUUGCUAGUGUUCUCCAAGUCACAUCCUGAGAGUCGGCUACUGUCCGUGUGGUGGUUCUUUCUUUCAUUCUACAAAUACUUCCCGAAGGGACACUGUGUGCCAGAAGCCCGGAAACACUCUUCGAACCACUCAGAGCUUCUAUCACUCCAGGGUCUUAACAUUAUUUUAACAGAGCUUUUUGUGUGCAAAUACUACUAAAACCAGAAAUUGCGCCUCUUCCUUAGAAGCAUCUAUCUAAUCUGAUUGUAUAUAUGUCAAGCCUGUGUGUGCAAUAUGUAUGUCAACAGUGCUUAAGUCAUAGCUUGUCUCCACUUGCUUCUGAUUUCUUUGAAUUCUCAUAUUCACCUCUCUCUCUCUCUCUCUCUUUCUUAACAGGGCUGGGAUUUUCCCUCUUUGAAACUUGACAGAAAUGUAAGAUAUUUCAGUUCUUGCUAUGAGCCAUGGAGCAAAUUGAAAAUAUAGCCAGCACUUUAGUCUCAUUAGUUUCCUCUAAACACCUACUCUGUUGGUAGAAGAUGAUGUGAACCCUUCUCACCCUGUUUAAAUUCCAACAUAAAAUUUGUACACAACAAUAAAACAUAAAACAUGUGGCUCGUUUGUCAAGCUUCCAUGGGCAACUGUGUCCCUCACACCGAGAACCUCGGUCUGGGUGUACAGAGCGAUUUCGUUCCUAGUUCACAUCACUCAAUCGAGCCUUCUGCAGAAAAGCUUUUAACAACCACAUCUGGCCUUUAAUAAAUCACUGCACUUUGUCUUCCUGCCAAAACUCCUCCUUUAUCUAACUUACAUCUUUAUGAUGAGAUAGGAAAUCACGCAUUAUGGUGGUGACAAACAAUUGUAAUUAUGUCAUUAGUAGCCAUUUAGUCUACAAAGGUGCUCAAAAAGGAAAUAUAAUGCACAAUAAGAAAUAUAGGAUAAUACAUUGAUCACAGUUCUAAUCGGCUUUUACUUCAUGAGUGUAAAAAGCUGGCAUAAUUCUUGGGCACAGCAGGCAGUAAUGGCAUACCACUUUAUGAACUAUGCAGCUAUUUUAUUCCCUAUCUACUUAAAAAUAAAAAAGCAUUUAAUAGCUUGAUUUAGACAUAAAAGUUAUUUGUGAUGCCUCGCUGAUUAUAAUAUUUAUUUUUCAACUUUUUACAGAAAUGACUUUUUUUGUGUUAGGAAAGAAGCUUAAGGUAUUUGGGUUCAGAAAUUCUAACCACUGUACAUGCAUGCAGGUGUGCACAUACACCCAUAAGUAUACAUUUUGGUAUAUACAUAGAUGUAUGUACAUGUGCAUAGGUGUGUACACACACACACACACACACACACACACUCACCUACAAGAGUCAAACAACUCACAAUAUGAUACAUUUUCUGAGGACCCCAAGUAGUGAAGGAAAAAAACCCUACAAAAUAGACAUUAAAGAACAUAUGUCAUUUAUUCUAUAUCCUACCACUUCCUAUCAUGUGGUUUAGGAAUAACAAAUUCCAGCAGGUUUCAAAAGAAGUAACUCUUUGGGUGCUCCUGUGGUUCUAAAACCCUAUGCAAUUCCCCCAAAAUCAGUCCAAAUCAAACACCCAAUUCUGUGCAGACCACAGCUCUAACAUCCAUCCAGAUUGAAGGACUAACACAUGACAGGAAGAAGGCAGCGGGUGGGGGGUGGGAGCAAAACCUUCAAUAACCUACAGCCUGCUGAGACGGUACAUAAGGCAAUGUCCCCUCUCUUACUACAUUCCUACCUUUGAAAUGCAUAUACACCUUGACCCUUGAACAACACCGGCCCAGGAGUUGGGAUAGUGGUACCAACCCUCUUGCAGUUGGAAAUCCAUGUUUAACUUUUGACUCCCCCAGAACUUAACUGCUAAUAGCAUAUUCCUGACUAGAAGCCUCACUGAUGACAUAAACAUUUGAUUGACACCCAUUUUGUAUGUUGUAGGCAUUGCAUACUGUCUUCUUACAAUAAAGUAACCCAGAGAAAAGGAAAUGCUUUUCAAAUUGUCACCCAUCUCCCAAAAAAAUUUACAAUAUAUUUACUAAAGAAAAAAAUCCAUGUGUAAGUAGACUGACACAGAUCAAACCUGCUGUUGUUUAAGGGUCAACUGUACCUAAGAAAUGUAAGCAAAAUCCAUCAGAAGGCAAUGUGGUCAAACUCUAGCAAGAGCAAAAGCACUUUAUAUCUAACUUCAGUCAGCCACCUCCACCUCCACACUUCUUACAAACCUUCCUUUUACUGUGAAGUCCCUACAUGAGCUUUGCAUCAAGUCAUUUAAAAAUUUCUGUUAAUUCAACAACUAUCUCCUAAUUAACUGCCUUGUAAAUGCCCACCAUGUUUCAUAUCGACCUGCAAAUCCAAAGAUUAGCAAGAUGGAGACUCAGGGACAGUAGGUUGAAGUCGGAAACAUCAAUGCCAAAUCCAAUUAAUCUAAUUUAAUUACAUUACAUUUUUUGGGUAAGGUUUUUGUUUUCACCUUGCACAUAGCUGUGUAUGUUUUCCUGGUAGGCUCUGAGGCCAAACUCAUGUUUUAAAAAAAAUUUUUGGCAAGCAAGUGAAAUAUUACACUUAUGUCUCCAAUAUUCAGGUAAAUCCUGAUAUCAUCAGCUGGCUGACUCAACCCACAAUGGGCAGGAAUUCAAGGAAGCCAUUUAUUUCCAAAUUUUAAUCAACAGUGUAAAAAACAGGCACUUAAUUGGACUGGGUGUUUAUAUAGCACAGGUCUCUUCUGUCUCAUUAAUUUAUGGAUAACUAUUGCUUCAAGUUCACUUUUAUCUGAAAAGAAAACCUCAGAUUUUCAAAAGAUGUUUGAAAAGUAACAGAAGCAGAAUUUUUUCCCUAAGUUUUUUAAGAAAAGAACAAACUCCCACACCCACAACACACAUUGUGUAAGAUGCAGACACAUCCAUUUUUCCAUACACUGGGGGAGGAAUUAGAAAUUGACCAUCAUAGACAAAAACAAAAAGAAUUACAAUAACAAACAGAGGCCUUAAGAGAACACAUAAGGGGUAGGAAAGUCUAAAUUCAAUGAAAAUGGAGGAGACUUCAGCCAAAUUUACCUGCAUGCUAUCAGCUUGAUUUCUCUUAAUCCGUCUAAGGUCUAAGGAUAUCUUUUAGUACUGGAGCCCUCCCUACCUCCACUCAAAACACUUUGACAUUUAGAAUUUUAUUUUUUCUAAGAAAAGCUUAUCUGGAACUCACAUGCUUCUCUAGUUACAUAUGAAAGAAAUUGUACUCACAUCAGCAUUAUCUUUAUUUACCAAUUCCCCUGCACAUUGCCCUGUGGGUACCAGCAGUUCAAAAGUUCAAAAAGGUUUUUGAAAAUAAACCAAGAUAGAAAACAGGCACCAAUUCCUAUUUGGAACUUACAUUCUCAUGCCUUCUAGCAUUCUCUAGAUGAUGGAUCAAGAGGAAUGAUAAAAGAUAGAGAGUGAGGCGGCUGCCAGGGGAGGGUAUCAGUUGGUGUGGAUGGCAUUUCUCAAACUGACUGAAAAAUUCAUCUCGUCCCCACAAGCUGUCAGGCCUAAGCAGGGGACAGAUCUACAUAUCACACCUCAGAAAGAGCGGAAGCAGCGGAAAGCUUCAUUCCCUCAGAAAUUCUUCCUCCCUUUUAUUCUUGUGAUUUUCUUUUCUUUUAUUCUAUUUUCGUGUGCCGUAGCUUUGAACAUUCCUCUCUGGGGUUCUGCUAGCCUCUUGGAAGUGAUGGCUGAGAAAGCUCAAAAAUAGGCCUGGGUGCAGAGCAACUUUCACUGGGCAUCUCUAAAAGCUCUCUGCUCUCUCGCUGGAUGAAUUGGCUGAUGCCUUCCUUCUAUAAACCAAGUUUCCACCAGCACCGGAAGACGGGCUCCUGCUCUUCAGUCGGUGUAGGGGGAGACCUCUCUUCAAACAGGUAUCAAAGCCCCUGAGAGAACAAAAAGCUCACCUGGGAGCCCCACACUGGAGGCAGCUUCCCAGAAGAAUAUGGGGCUCACCCCCAAAAACCUGCAGGUCGGUGGCUGCUAAAUGGUGAUGAUGCAAGGAAAGCCAGCACAAGGCCAUCACUUCCAAAUGUGGGUGAAGAUUACUUCAGUGAUCCACACACGCCCCACCUGGAGGAGAGGUGCCUUCCUGAAGGACCCAAGGAACAACAGAGUUCCAGAGACAACCUGCCCCAUGCAAAGGGAUGCCAGGAGAAGAAUAACAUUUCACCUCACACCGAGAAGCCCCAUAUGCUGCAUACGGUUUUGAAAAGAACCUAAUCAAUAGUAUCAACUGAACCUGAGAUUAGAUUAAACGGCAGACAGAGGCAAACAGCCUAUCACUGUUAAGAAUCAUCAUUCCCGUGGCUUUCAACCUCGUUUUCCUUGACGGCAAGCGACAGGGCAACAUGGUUUAUCGUGCGGAGACAGGAUCCGGUACAAAAGGCCACCCCCAGCCCGAGGAGUGACACUGGGAAUGGGUUGUGCAAUGCCUCUGGAGGGGUCCCAAGAGCACGAAGCCACGGCUUCCACAUUUCCUACCCACCACCCUUGCUGGCCCCACACUGAGGUCUCCCCAGGAGCGAGCAGGCACGGCCCCGAGCUCAGACUGGGACCAAGGUUCAAGUCCAGGCCCUCAGACUUAGUAUCUGUGCCACUGUGGAUGGGUUAACUUUUCUGUUCCUGCCUCCCCUCCACGGAAGGGGUAAAGUGACUGAAGCCAUCUCAGAAAGCAGUUGUGAAUAUAAGCUCAGGAGUUUUGUGCCUGCUUCCCCGCAGCCUCUGUGCAGCCCAAGUUACCCAGUGGUUUGACACCUCCUCUGAGACCCUCUGAUUGAUCACUACCCUAUAUUCCUUGUCAGGAGAGGGAGCACUCAAGAAGGGAGCCCCACUGCCACCAACAAGUCUCUUCCCCACCGACCACGUUAAACGUUACCCUGGAG